AAAUUGAAGAGUUUGAUCAUGGCUCAGAUUGAACGCUGGCGGCAGGCCUAACACAUGCAAGUCGAACGGUAACAGGAAACAGCUUGCUGUUUCGCUGACGAGUGGCGGACGGGUGAGUAAUGUCUGGGAAACUGCCUGAUGGAGGGGGAUAACUACUGGAAACGGUAGCUAAUACCGCAUAACGUCGCAAGACCAAAGAGGGGGACCUUCGGGCCUCUUGCCAUCGGAUGUGCCCAGAUGGGAUUAGCUAGUAGGUGGGGUAACGGCUCACCUAGGCGACGAUCCCUAGCUGGUCUGAGAGGAUG
rnacentral:rRNA from 1 species